AUGAGUAGCACAAAUUGCAAUAUUAUGAAUUGGAACGUGCAAGGGCUGAACUCGCCAGCCAAGCGUGCUGCGAUCUGUGAAGUAGCCGAUGCCCAUAGGCUUGUUGUCCUAUGUAUGCAGGAGACCAAGAUCGAAUGCUGGUCCCCAGCGAUGGUUAGAAAGCUGGGUGUGCAGCACCUAGACGCCUGCGCAGUGCCGCCGGCGGACGGCACCCGAGGCGGUGCUGCAAUCUUCUGGGACUCCUCCGCGGUUUCCAUUGCAACCCAGGUGAUAGGCCAAUUCUCCAUCACGGCAAGGGCAACACUGCGGCAGUGCAACACCGCCUUCUGGAUCACAACG
rnacentral:rRNA from 1 species